rnacentral:ncRNA from 1 species
CUCGUAGUUGGAUCUCGGGAUCGAGCCGACGGUCCGCCGCGAGGCGAGCCACCGUCUGUCCCAGCCCCUGCCUCUCGGCGCCCCCUCGAUGCUCUUAGCUGAGUGUCUUGCAGGGGCUCGAAGCGUUUACUUUGAAAAAAUUAGAGUGUUCAAAGCAGGCCCCCGUCGCCUGAAUACCGCAGCUAGGAAUAAUGGAAUAGGACUCCGGUUCUAUUUUGUGGGUUUUCUUCUCUCUGAACUGGGGCCAUGAUUAAGAG